rnacentral:misc_RNA from 1 species
AAAAAAAAAAAAAAAAAGCAGAGGAAGAAGAAUGAUGUGGGGUGGGGGCAUACUUGGGUGGGGCUGGAAUCAUCAUCAACAUGUUUUUCUCAUGCAGCUUCUUUCUUAUAGUGUAGGUGCCAUCUGAACUGAACUCCUUUUCCUAGUUUGUAGUCUAAUUUUCCUCAUGCUGUUGGCUAGAAGGGAUUUUCAGAUUUUAUUGCCCAAGGUUAUUUUGCUUAUUUAGUUUUCCCUACAUAUGUAAUUAUUUAUAUUAUAAAUAUCAUGAUAUCCAACAAAUUUAAUGAGUCAGGGAAAAAGAACUUGAAGCAUGGGAGAAAGAAUAUGCGAUAUCAAGAAUCUUUAAAUUGAAAGCAGAGUUUGUUGUGAUAUUAGGACUGAAAGAAAAGUUUGAUUAGUUAUCAAGAGUUGUUAAAGAUUUAAGGCAAGUACAAAAAUGCUGUUUGAAUCAGAAAAGCAAUUUGAAGAUGAAGAACAAGAACUAUUGGAAGCUAAAAUUGAAAAACUUGAAGUUUUGGUUGUUGAAUAUUCACAUGUUGAAGAACUAGUUCCAGAAAUGCAUGUUGAAGACCUUGUUCUGGGAAAAGAAGUUGAGGAAGCUGAACAAGAAAAGGUUAUGAAAACUAGCCUCGAAAUUGAAGAAAAUCAAGCUAGGGAGGCGACAAAGAAGAUUGAACAUUUUUCAAAUUCUUUCAUUCCUAGUGAAUCAAAGGGCCUUCCAGCUAUUGUUUUGAUUGAUUUUCUAUGUUCAGACAUUUCCAAGGAUGCAAAUAGUGCAUGAAAUUCUUCUUCUCAAUCUCAUUUCUAACAUAAAAAAUGAUAAAGUUCUUUAUUCUUCAAAUCCAGUGCUUGAUUUUCCAAUUAUAAUACUCGAGGUCGAGUUUUCUUCAACUAUAGGAGAAUGAUGCAGUAUUAGAAGACGACUAAAUUUAGGAAUUAUAUUCGUUGUAGAAUUAGAAAGUUUAGAGUUCUAUUAAUAAGGAAUUCUAUUAGGUUUAUUAUUAUUUUCCUAAUUUAAGUUUGUU